GAGUUUGAUCAUGGCUCAGGAUGAACGCUGGCGGCGUGCCUAACACAUGCAAGUCGAGCGGCAGCGCGAGUAGUUUACUACUUGGCGGCGAGCGGCGAACGGCUGAGUAACGCGUGGGAAUUUGCCCCAAAGUGAGGAAUAACUGCCCGAAAGGGUGGCUAAUGCCGCAUAUGAUCUUCGGAUUAAAGGAUUUAUCCGCUUUGGGAGAAGCCCGCGUCGGAUUAGGUAGUUGGUGAGGUAAUAGCUCACCAAGCCGACGAUCCGUAGCUGGUCUGAGAGGAUGACCAGCCAGACUGGAACUGAGACACGGUCCAGACUCCUACGGGAGGCAGCAGUGAGGAAUCUUCCACAAUGGGCGAAAGCCUGAUGGAGCAACGCCGCGUGCAGGAUGAAGGCCUUCGGGUUGUAAACUGCUUUUAUAAGUGAGGAAUAUGACGGUAGCUUAUGAAUAAGGAUCGGCUAACUACGUGCCAGCAGCCGCGGUCAUACGUAGGAUCCGAGCGUUAUCCGGAGUGACUGGGCGUAAAGAGUUGCGUAGGCGGUUUGUUAAGUGAAUAGUGAAAUCUGGUGGCUCAACCAUACAGGCUAUUAUUCAAACUGGCAAACUCGAGAGUGGUAGAGGUCACUGGAAUUUCUUGUGUAGGAGUGAAAUCCGCAGAUAUAAGAAGGAACACCGAUGGCGUAGGCAGGUGACUGGACCAUUUCUGACGCUAAGGCACGAAAGCGUGGGGAGCGAACCGGAUUAGAUACCCGGGUAGUCCACGCCGUAAACGAUGGAUACUGGCUGUUGGAGGUAUCGACCCCUUCAGUAGCGAAGCUAACGCGUUAAGUAUCCCGCCUGUGGAGUACGGUCGCAAGACUAAAACAUAAAAGAAUUGACGGGGACCCGCACAAGCGGUGGAUCGUGUUCUUUAAUUCGAUGCUAAACGAAGAACCUUACCAGGGCUUGACAUCCAGGGAAUUUUUGGGAAACCAAUUAGUGCCUUUUGGAACCCUGUGACAGGUGAUGCAUGGCCGUCGUCAGCUCGUGUCGUGAGAUGUUUGGUUAAGUCCAUCAACGAGCGCAACCCUUGCAAACUAGUUGGAUUUUUCUAGUUGGACUGCUUCGGUAACGGAGAGGAAGGAGGGGAUGAUGUCAGGUCAGUAUUUCCCUUACGUCCUGGGCUAGAAACGCGAUACGAAUGGCUAGUACGAAUGCGCGGCGAGAGCCGCGAGGUGGAGCGAAAUCGCGUCGAAGCGUAGUCCCGGUUCGGAAUUGGAGGCUGAAAACUCGCUCUCCGUGAAGUUCGGUAUCGCUAGUUAU
rnacentral:rRNA from 1 species